AUUGAACGCUGGCGGCAUGCUUUACACAAGCAAGUCGAACGGUAACAGGGUGCUUGCACCGCUGACGAGUGGCGAACGGGUGAGUAAUGCGUCGGAACGUGCCGAGUAGUGGGGGAUAACGCAGCGAAAGUUGUGCUAAUACCGCAUACGUACUGAGGUAGAAAGUGGGGGACCUUCGGGCCUCACGCUAUUCGAGCGGCCGACGUCUGAUUAGCUAGUAGGUGAGGUAAAGGCUCACCUAGGCGACGAUCAGUAGCGGGUCUGAGAGGAUGAUCCGCCACACUGGGACUGAGACACGGCCCAGACUCCUACGGGAGGCAGCAGUGGGGAAUUUUGGACAAUGGGCGAAAGCCUGAUCCAGCCAUGCCGCGUGUCUGAAGAAGGCCUUCGGGUUGUAAAGGACUUUUGUCAGGGAGGAAAUCCCUAGCGUUAAUACCGCUGGGGAUGACAGUACCUGAAGAAUAAGCACCGGCUAACUACGUGCCAGCAGCCGCGGUAA
rnacentral:rRNA from 1 species